rnacentral:rRNA from 1 species
UGGAAAAAAAAAAAAUGUAACAAGGUUUCCGUAGGUGAACCUGCGGAAGGAUCAUUACAGUAUUCUUUUUGCCAGCGCUUAAUUGCGCGGCGAAAAAACCUUACACACAGUGUUUUUUGUUAUUACAAGAACUUUUGCUUUGGUCUGGACUAGAAAUAGUUUGGGCCAGAGGUUUACUGAACUAAACUUCAAUAUUUAUAUUGAAUUGUUAUUUAUUUAAUUGUCAAUUUGUUGAUUAAAUUCAAAAAAUCUUCAAAACUUUCAACAACGGAUCUCUUGGUUCUCGCAUCGAUGAAGAACGCAGCGAAAUGCGAUAAGUAAUAUGAAUUGCAGAUUUUCGUGAAUCAUCGAAUCUUUGAACGCACAUUGCGCCCUCUGGUAUUCCAGAGGGCAUGCCUGUUUGAGCGUCAUUUCUCUCUCAAACCUUCGGGUUUGGUAUUGAGUGAUACUCUUAGUCGAACUAGGCGUUUGCUUGAAAUGUAUUGGCAUGAGUGGUACUGGAUAGUGCUAUAUGACUUUCAAUGUAUUAGGUUUAUCCAACUCGUUGAAUAGUUUAAUGGUAUAUUUCUCGGUAUUCUAGGCUCGGCCUUACAAUAUAACAAACAAGUUUGACCUCAAAUCAGGUAGGAUUACCCGCUGAACUUAAGCAUAUCAUA